ACUACAAGCGUCCCCCAGCAAAGCUGCACCGCCAUUUCCUGUGCUUGGGAACUGAAGGCAAGACAGAGGCUCACUAGUGGCACGAUCUUGGCUGAUUGCAUCUUCCACCUCCUGGGUUCAAGAGAUUCUUGUGCCUUAGCUUCCUGAGUAGCUAAGAUUACAGAUCACAAGCAAUCAGGCUGAUCCCGCCUGAGCCCUGAGCUCCCUGGGACCCAGCAGCAGCUGUGCAUUGGCACGUGGUGCCCUGUGUCUGAUCAGCUGACUCCUCAGGCAAAACCUGCACCAUUUUCACCAGAAUUGCAGAUGUCCUCAGUGUCAUUACAAAGUUCCUAAGUCAUGACCAUUCUGUCCUGUGGAACCAGGCUGGACUAAGCUCCCAUUUCUUUAAGCCAUCCUGUCCCCUGCAGGGACUUCCAAGGUGGAGCUGAUGAGCAAUAGUUAUGAGUCAUUGGAGGAGACAUCCCAGAGGCGCCAGCUCCCCUCUGCCCUAAACUGAAAUUAAGACCUGGUGCUCUGGGUGGGGCCCCUGGAAGGGGAUGUGCAACUCAGAGGGGACCUUCUCCACCUCCACCCAGGAGACCCCAGAGGGACCAUGGCAGAGCCGGAGCCCUCUUUUUUUUUGUUCGUUUUUUAUUUUAUUAUUAUUAUACUUUAAGUUUUAGCCCUCUUUUAAAAACCAAAUGAAAAUAAGCAAAAGAAGCCAAUCGUCUCUGUGAAAUGUCCAGAAGAGGGAACUCUGUAGAGACAGAGAGGAUAUUAUUGGCUGCCGGAGGCUGGGAAUGGGAAGGUGAGGGGCCUGGGGAGGUGAUGGUUAAAAGAUUCUUCUUUGUGGUGAUGAAAUUGUCUUAAAAUGGACUGUGGUGAUAGUUGUGCAACUUGGUGAAUAUAUAAGUUAUUGAAUUGUACACUUUAAAUGGGUGAAUUGUAUGGUGUGUGAAACAUAUCUCAAUAAAGCUGUUAUUUGAAAAAUAAAUAAGUAAAUA
rnacentral:lncRNA from 1 species